GAAUAUGAAAUAUGUAUUAUACAUCACAAUGCUGUUUAAUAUUGCCGGACAACAAGUUGGCAUUUCAAGUGGUUUUGAUCACGUGGUAAUGUGACCCAAUACAAGAGUUAAAGGUAUUGAUACAUGCUGAGGAGUACAUUUACUGGGACCAAUCUCACUUCCAAUUCUUCCUUUACACUUGAUUAAAGUCUGAGUGCACCCUCAAUAUUGUUUUGAAACAAAUAGAAAUAAGAGUGAUGGGCAUAUCUUAAUAAAGUUAAGACAAAACUGAAAAAACAUUGCAGAACAGAUAUAUGCAGAUUAAUAAUUUGGAGGAAAAACUCCAGCUGAACUAAAAGAGAGCAAGCGGCAAUCCACAACAGUUAUUUUUCUGAAUUAAAAACAAGAUAUUACAAUUUAAACAAUUAUUACUAUGACUCGGGGGUCAGCAAAGUUUUCUGUAAAUAGCCAGGUAGUAAAUAUUUUAGACUUUGAGACACAUAUGGUCUCUUUUGCAACUACACAGCUCUGCCAUUACAGCAGAAAAGCAGCCACAGACCACACUUAAAUCCAAUAUGACUCAAUUUAUGGACAUGACAAUUUGAAUUACAUAUAACUUUUAAAUGCCACAAAAUAUUCUUCUUCUUUUGUUUGUUUUUUAGCAAUUUAAAAACGGAAUAAAAUUUCUUACCUCCUGUGCAAUUUGUAAUUUGGCUGUCUGGGAAGGCCUGCUAUAGGGACAAUAGGUGAGGAUACUUAAACAAUCUCAUUUCUGCUCUGCCCCCAGCUCUUUUUCUUUGCCCUUAAAGGUCUUUUUUUUCAAACCUGAAACAAAUAUAAAUGAAAAAGUUUAAAUAAUCAGAAAAAUAUAUAAUUUGUAUUAUCCAUCUGUUUUCUUAACAUUGUAUAAGAGGCAAAAGGGAUCUUUUACAAAAAUUGAAGGGGAAGGUUUUUAACUUCAAAAAAGUAUAUCUUCAAUCAUGAUAUCUUUUAAAAAAUUAUAGCAUAACAACAGAUAUCUCUUUAAAGGAAAUAUAUAUACAUAUACACACAUAUGUAUGUACAUAUGUGUAUAUAUACAUAUAUAUGUAAUCCUAGCAAUUGUUUAGAUUUUAUUCCAUGUUAUUAUGUAGCCCUUAUCACAGGAGCACUCCAAUGCCAGACUGCAAAUGGGAUUGGCUGAAAAUACUGUUUUAGUUCAGCAGGAGGAGGCAGAAAUGUCCCAGUUUAGUCAAUCUCAUUUUCUGUUUUGCAGAUCACACACCAGUCCUUCAGUUCAUGAAGUUUCUCUCUAUUUCCGGAAUAAAAGCUUCCAUUGCCUGUAGAGCACUUCAACCAUGUCAACUCUGCAAGGAAAGGGCUGCUAGGACUGAUUUCUCUGCUGGAUGUUGUAAGACAGCGUACUCCAAGCUUAAGGAUUCAAAUGAAAUAUCCCAACCAAUUAAAGUGCAGUUGAAAUGCAAAGACCAGUACCACUAGCUACAUAUGUACACCAAGAAAAGAGAAAAGGGCAUAAAUGGGACUAAUGUCACACAAAAAAACAAUUUCGUGAAUGAGGAAAAAAUUUCAAAUGAGGAGUUUGGAGGCAAAAAAAAAAGAAAAAAAAAA
rnacentral:lncRNA from 1 species